UGGUCUCCCUCCUCCCUCUCCCCUCACCUCCCUCUCCCCUCACCUCCCCCAGCGCGAAGGGGAGUUAGAAACCGUCAGAGAAGGAGUCUAAACAACUGGCUGUUCCUUUUAAAGGCCCAGACACCCUCCACAGACACAGACUAGCAUAGCAGUCAGAAUGAAAACAUGGACUGGAAGCUCCUCAGAUACUUUCAAGGUGAAUGCAGAUGACCUUGAAGAGUGCAAUGAAGACUAAUCCCAGGGCCCAAAGGAAUGGGCUCUGAAGAGAGGCUGAGGGAACUGAAUCUAUACAGCCAAGAACAAAGACGAAUUAGGGGCUUGAUGGAAGCCUUUAAAACAUGAAAAAAGGAGCUGACAAAAAAACACUCCCAGAGGACACAGUUGGAAAUGAAGCGGAGACAGACAUAGCCCAGAGGGAAGGAUGCACUUGCUUCCACAGAAUGGGGAGAGUGUGGGAUGGGUUACCCAGCCAUGUUAUCGAGGCUGAAUCAUUGGGGACCCCACUUUACAAAGUUUUGAGAUCUACUACAGUAGUUGCUAGCAAUCUUUGAGGAGCACUGACUUCCCUCGUUCAUAACUUUCCUUAUGUUCCUAUAAGCUACAAUGGCUAAAAGUUGUUACUGAAUAAAGUGCUGUCUUAAAGGUU